AACGCAUACGGCACCCGAGGCUUCUGCCGAGGGUAUGUCUGCCUCAGAGUCGGCGUAAACAAAACUACCCUGUGGUCCCAAGCGACCACGGGUGGGAACUGGCGGUUCCCGGGGCCCCGGGGGUCUUCCUACGGGAAGAACUCUGGGAACCCGGGUCCGCCGAAGGAAAGAUACGGAACGGCCCCGGACGCGAUCGAGGUCCGGGCAGCGCGAUUUGGUGGUUCAUCGUCGCGUUGCCUCGCACCGAUUCUCGAGAGAGAGGUCGCAGAGGGGAUCCGGCUUCCGCCGCUCAAAGCACCCUGGGAGAAGGCAAGGGAACCAGGCCUUCUUGACCUGCCCGAGCCCAUCCCCGCACCUUUUUCGACCUGAGUUCAGGCAAGAUCACCCGCUGAACUUAA
rnacentral:misc_RNA from 1 species